rnacentral:rRNA from 1 species
ACUGUCCUACGGGACGUAGCAGUGAGGAAUAUUGGUCGAUGGUCGGGAGACUGAACCAGCCAAGCCGCGUGAGGGAGGAAGAUACAGAGUAUCGUAAACCUCUUUUGUCAGGGAACAAAGGCGGGGACGUGUCCCCGGAUGAGUGUACCUGAAGAAAAAGCAUCGGCUAACUCCGUGCCAGCAGCCGCGGUAAUACGGAGGAUGCGAGCGUUAUCCGGAUUUAUUGGGUUUAAAGGGUGCGCAGGCGGUCUGUUAAGUCAGCGGUCAAAGCCCGGGGCUCAACCCCGGCCCGCCGUUGAAACUGG